rnacentral:rRNA from 1 species
AACGAACGCUGGCGGCAUGCCUAACACAUGCAGGUCGAACGAUUGCCUUCGGGUGAUAGUGGCGCACGGGUGCGUAACGCGUGGGAAUCUGCCCUUAGGUUCGGAAUAACAGCUGGAAACGGCUGCUAAUACCGGAUGAUAUCGCGAGAUCAAAGAUUUAUCGCCUGAGGAUGAGCCCGCGUUGGAUUAGGUAGUUGGUGGGGUAAAGGCCUACCAAGCCGACGAUCCAUAGCUGGUCUGAGAGGAUGAUCAGCCACACUGGGACUGAGACACGGUCCAGACUCCUACGGGAGGCAGCAGUGGGGAAUAUUGGACAAUGGGCGCAAGCCUGAUCCAGCAAUGCCGCGUGAGUGAUGAAGGCCCUAGGGUUGUAAAGCUCUUUUACCCGGGAAGAUAAUGACUGUACCGGGAGAAUAAGCCCCGGCUAACUCCGUG